UAAUACCCCAUAGAUCAUGGCAUCUGGAAUGAGCUAUGGUUCAAAGUUCCGGCGCUUAAGGAUCGGUCUGCGGCCUAUCAGGUAGUAGUGGGUGUAAAGUACCUACUAGCCUAUGACGGGUAUGGGCCUUGAGAGAGGGAGCCCAGAGUUGGAUUCUGAGACACGAAUCCAGGCCCUACGGGGCGCAGCAGUCGCGAAAACUUCACACUGGGGGCAACCCCGAUGAGGGAAUUCCUAGUGCUAGCUCUUUUUGAGUUAGCUUUUCUUUAGCGUAGAUAACUAAAGGAAUAAGGGCUGGGUAAGACGGGUGCCAGCCGCCGCGGUAAUACCUGCAGCCCAAGUGGUGGCCGAUAGUAUUGAGUCUAAAACGUUCGUAGCCGGUCUGAUAAUCUUUGGGUAAAUCGGGAAGCUUAACUUUCCGACUUCCGAGGAGACUGUCAGACUUGGGACCGGGAGAGGCUAGAGGUACUUCUGGGGUAGGGGUAAAAUCCUGUAAUCCUAGAAGGACCACCGGUGGCGAAGGCGUCUAGCUAGAACGGAUCCGACGGUGAGGGACGAAGCCCUGGGGCGCAAACGGGAUUAGAUACCCCGGUAGUCCAGGGUGUAAACGCUGCAGACUUGGUGU
rnacentral:rRNA from 1 species